AUGGUCUUGUCCCUGCCAUCAGGACACAGCUCGCAUUACAGCACUGCCUUUAUUUGGCUGGAGAGCGGAUCUUGGCAGCUGCUUGCAAACUCUCUCCCUUCUGCUGUCUGGAUGGGUUUGGAGAGUUAUUGCUGCCCCAGCCCAAGCAGUAUGACCAGAUCCCUGGUGUCCCACGAGCAUCAAUCUGCCCCCAUCCAGCCACCCGCUCUUGUUCUCUGCCGGGUCUGGAGCCCAGGCCUGAAACCUAGAUGUGAUCUCGCCUCCCUUCUCCUGAGGUCUGCUGCUAAUGCUGCUGGUCCAGCCCAGAUGGAAGGUGAAGGUGAGAUGCUGGCCGCAUGGGAUGAUGAGAUUGAGAUGCUGGGACGCAACGCUUUGUGCUGUUUCCCCAGACAGCUGCCCCUGGGGUGGAUGCCAACCCUGCCGGCACCAGGAUUAACUCUGCUGCUUCAACUUGGUGACUGUCCAGCUGUUCCAUCACCAUUUGUUGGAAAGACUAUCUUUUCUCUGUUGCAUUGUCUCUGCUUCUUUGACAAAGAUCAGUUCAGUAUAUUUAUGUGAGUAUAUUUCUGGGCUAUCUAUUCUGUUACAUUGAUUUAUUUGUCUUUUUUUUUUUUUUUUA
rnacentral:lncRNA from 1 species